GGGCCCGCACAAGCGGUGGAGCAUGUGGUUUAAUUCGAUGAUACGCGAGGAACCUUACCAGGGCUUAAAUGCAGUAUGACAGAUUUGGAAACAGAUUUUUCUUCGGACAUAUUGCAAGGUGCUGCAUGGUUGUCGUCAGCUCGUGCCGUGAGGUGUCAGGUUAAGUCCUAUAACGAGCGCAACCCCUAUUUCUAGUUGCCAGCACAUAAUGGUGGGGACUCUAGAGAGACUGCCGGUGCAAACCGUGAGGAAGGUGGGGAUGACGUCAAAUCAUCACGGCCCUUACGUCCUGGGCUACACACGUGCUACAAUGGUAGGGACAGAGAGCAGCCACUUCGCGAGAAGGAGCGAAUCUACAAACCCUAUCUCAGUUCAGAUCGUAGGCUGCAACUCGCCUACGUGAAGGCGGAAUCGCUAGUAAUCG
rnacentral:rRNA from 1 species